ensembl:lincRNA Gm28651 predicted gene 28651
AUUCCUCGAGUAAGGAGCUAUACUCUGCCAUGGUUUUGGAGCAAGAUAAUCUGGCCAGCCACAGGCUGGGGGAAGGCUGGUCCUUUCAAGGAGAGACGUGCAAAAGGAUGUGAAAUUAUCAGGGAAGAUGCAAGGUGGCAAGCAUGACCUCAUGUCUGCUUUGGGAUCACAGAAACAGUGACCGGUGCUCCGAGGCAAGAGCAGAGAUGGUUUGCUCCAAGUGGUUGACUGACAAGAGACCAGGGGAACCUUCAGGGGGGCCAGGAGUGACAGGCAGCUUUGUCAACAAUGCUGGGAGAGAAACAUCUCUCUAGCAAGAAUCUCUGAGCACGCUAACCAGACCACAGCUGAGCACCCCGGAAUCCACCUGCUCCAGGAAAAGUUUCCAUCUUCCAAAAGCUAUGGAUCCCAUAUCUUAAUUAGUUACUUCGGGUACACUGACAACAGAGCACCCCCAGCAAAGACAACAGUUGGGCUUUGGAUCAAGAACACAGGGUCUGCAUAGCCCAGAGCUGGCAUGGUUCCUGGGGUCUGGCCAAGAAGAAGUGACCACUGUCUUCCAGCCCAGGAGCCAUGAGCUGCAUGGAAAGAAUGUGAAUGAAGACACCAUUCUAAAUGUAGACUCAUGGGUGCUAUGUGAGCCA